rnacentral:rRNA from 1 species
CCCUUAGAUGUUCUGGGCCGCACGCGCGCUACACUGAUGCAUUCAACGAGCCUAUCCUUGACCGACAGGUCCGGGUAAUCUUUGAAUCUGCAUCGUGACGGGGAUAGAUUAUUGCAAUUAUUAAUCUUCAACGAGGAAUGCCUAGUAGGCGCAAGUCAUCAGCUUGCGUCGAUUACGUCCCUGCCCUUUGUACACACCGCCCGUCGCUCCUACCGAUUGGGUGUGCUGGUGAAAUGUUCGGAUCGGCCGUUUGUCGCGGUUUCCGCGUCAUGUGGCUGAGAAGUUCAUUAAACCCUCCCACCGAGAGGAAGGAGAAGUCGUAAC